GUUCAGCUGAUGUGUCUCAAACAGGAUGAAAUGCGCGUCAGACUGGAU
rfam:Schistosoma mattheei strain Denwood, Zambia genome assembly, scaffold: SMTD_scaffold0025192